AGCGAACGCUGGCGGCAGGCUUAACACAUGCAAGUCGAGCGGGCACUUCGGUGUCAGCGGCAGACGGGUGAGCAACACGUGGGAACGUACCCUUUGGUUCGGAAUAACGCUGGGAAACUAGCGCUAAUACCGGAUACGCCCUUUUGGGGAAAGGCUUGCUGCCGAAGGAUCGGCCCGCGUCUGAUUAGCUAGUUGGUGGGGUAAUGGCCUACCAAGGCGACGAUCAGUAGCUGGUCUGAGAGGUUGAUCAGCCACACUGGGACUGAGACACGGCCCAGACUCCUACGGGAGGCAGCAGUGGGGAAUAUUGGACAAUGGGCGCAAGCCUGAUCCAGCCAUGCCGCGUGAGUGAUGAAGGCCUUAGGGUUGUAAAGCUCUUUUGUCCGGGACGAUAAUGACGGUACCGGAAGAAUAAGCCCCGGCUAACUUCGUG
rnacentral:rRNA from 1 species